rnacentral:rRNA from 1 species
GGCGAGCGCUGCUAUACUGCAAGUCGAGCGGACAGAUGGGAGCUUGCUCCCUGAUGUUAGCGGCGGACGGGUGAGUAACACGUGGGUAACCUGCCUGUAAGACUGGGAUAACUCCGGGAAACCGGGGCUAAUACCGGAUGCUUGUUUGAACCGCAUGGUUCAAACAUAAAAGGUGGCUUCGGCUACCACUUACAGAUGGACCCGCGGCGCAUUAGCUAGUUGGUGAGGUAAUGGCUCACCAAGGCAACGAUGCGUAGCCGACCUGAGAGGGUGAUCGGCCACACUGGGACUGAGACACGGCCCAGACUCCUACGGGAGGCAGCAGUAGGGAAUCUUCCGCAAUGGACGAAAGUCUGACGGAGCAACGCCGCGUGAGUGAUGAAGGUUUUCGGAUCGUAAAGCUCUGUUGUUAGGGAAGAACAAGUACCGUUCGAAUAGGGCGGUACCUUGACGGUACCUAACCAGAAAGCCACGGCUAACUACGUGCCAGCAGCCGGCGGUAAUU